GGUUGCUGCAAUCGAGCAGAUAAUUCAGUACGACGAGGUUUCUAUUCAAUUUCAACUGUCAGAGAAAAUGAAGGCGAUUUCACGAAAACUUUGAGCGAAGAUCGGCGCCGACUGUGGCUGGCAAAUAUCAACCGGAAAGAUGCGCCGACAAAAUACUCGAAAAUCUGCUCCGAUCAUUUCAUAAACGGCAAACCAUCUAGUAUGUAUGAAAGAUCCAAUCCUGAUUGGGCCCCAACCCUUCUUCUUGGAGAAGACCUGACACCAAGUAAAUCUUUGAAGAAAGAGAAGAAGAUAGAAACAAACAAAAAAGAUAUCAGAGGAAGUUGGAUAGGGAUGAGGUUCGAGAGGUUGUCGCUCUUGUUGAACGUCCUCACCUGAAAUACAACAGUGCCCAUCAAUAAAAAAAAAUGUAAAAAGAUAUGCAAUUGUACAAUGAAACACAUAUGUGUCAUGUCACGGCCCACAUGAGAAAAAGGACUUAAAUAUAAUUGUGACCAGUCUGGAUCCAGAUAACACAUGCUUUCAAAAAUGAUUUAAACUUUUUGUUUAACAUCUUGAGAAUUACUAACUUGAAUAGCGAACAGUCACGAUCCUGAUCAGACUGCGCUUUUUGGUGCAGGCUGACCUGGGUCUGAACUGAUCGCGAUUGCCUACGGUGCCUUUACCAGUGAGGCGGCUCAUAAUUAUAUAGUACCGGGUAUAUACAUAUACACAGUUAUGCGUUAGUUUUGGUACAAGGCCAAAGCAGGGGUGUGUCGCUGCAGCCCCCGGAAACACAUCACUUUUUAAGAAAGAAAGUUACGUCCCUUAUCAGCCCAUUAUCAUAUGGGCAGCUAAAGUGCAAGUGUACCUUACGGUCUUUUAGUUAAGAUAAGCCUUGAUAAAGGUGUAUAACGCCACUCAUAAUUAGUAUAUUUACAUACCAUUAAUAACACUGUCAAGGCGCCUUUUCUUGAUUGACACAGAAGUGAAAUCGAUAUCCCGAACUGCAGCAUAGGGCACCUUGUCGACUGCUGAAGGCAUGGACCAGUAAGCCUUUUCCUGUGUCACAGUUCUGCGGGACAUGAGGCGAUGUAUAAACUCUAUGUGGAAAAGCAAGUCUCCCCGAGACCAGCUUUGCAGUCGCAAUGUGCUGCCUCUACCAUACCGUCUUUAUUGGCGAUGACCCAGGGAUGAAGUGGUGUUGCGUUCAUCUGCUGGGGGUGUCGAACCUAAGUGAGAUUGAAAUAAAUGUAUAUAAUGAUAAUUCAUAACCUAUAAUAAUAUACAGAAACAAAACACCAGGAGGUAAACAGAAACUGAUCCCUAUAUAUAUUUCAUUGGUUUCUGUAUACCUUCACAAUAUGUACUCUGUAAGAAGUUGAAUUAAAAGAUACAGACGCAUUUAUUAAUGUAACAAACAAAUAACAAGUAAGAAUACAGAUUAGGUUUGAUAAGCUGUACCGUUACAGUUAUAAAUGUAUUGCGACAUACAUGGUAUUCGCAUGUGAGCCACUAGUAUAAUAUUGGUAUGCCUUGGCCAGGGACCGAUCCCACAACCUCGAUCCUGCAUAUGAAGCGGACACUAUACCACCGGGCCAUCAAGGCACUGGUAUGAUUUCCUGGACCCCCUUUAGCCAGAAUCUUAUCCCAUUUAAUUUCUUUUAUGUAAUGACUACAUAUGUGAUUGUCCAGGUUAAAACUAUUUACUUAUAUUUUGACAAAUUCAUAUUUAUAUUUGAUGCUAGAUCUAGAUAUAUUAUAGAUAUAUGCAUAGACUUUACUAACCUUUGCAGUCACCAAAACAUUGUCAUUUACAGUCAUGCUCUGUACGUCACGAACCCAACCACAGCUCAACUGGUUGAUUGCUUCCAUAGAUUUGUACGCUUUUAGCUGAUCAAAUGUAUAUGCACUUUAAAUAAUUCACAAUGUCAAUGUAUGUGACUGAUGGCAGACAUUUAUUGUCACUGACGAGAUCGCCCUUACUCAAAGCGUACGGAUCUCUUCCGCCUAUCAAGGAUAUUUUUUCCUCGUAUCUUGUCCAUUCCUUUCCUUCUAGGCGAUCCUUGUACGAGUUUAAUGAUUGCUUAUCUGCCAUUUUAGCAUUCAAUAAGUUCUACUUAGUCAGUAUUUUUCUAGAAAGACGACAAUUCACGAAAAUUAAUCAGAUGUAGAUGUAGAUAGCGCUAUCGAUUGUGUGUUUUGCCAAACAAAAUGGCGUAAACCUCCUGUAAACGCGCACCUGCUAUUAUCUCGGGAAAUAUGUAUUUAAAUAAAUGUGAACAAGUGACGAUGGGAGAAGCUAUUUUGUACCAAAAUAAGUGUGAGUUAUGAUUGUAUACAUUUUUCAGUUGCAAUAGUAAGUUAAGUUUCCUGCUUGACCAGUAUUGAUUAGUCCAUGUUUUUAACAGUUUUAUAUGCAUUUUUACUGAUGUGAGAAUUAUGUGCAUCCUAACUGGGCACUAUAUGAUGCAGAACUCUCCUAUCUAAGGACGAAUGCAGAAUUAAACAUAAGCUAUGAAAUGCAUUUAGUGGCAAUUCUGUUGUACAGUAAUAAGAUGGCUGACAAGUUCAGAUUGGUUUUCAAUAAUCUAUUUUUAUACAUGAUUAUUAUAUUGUUCUUUUAUAAUAAAUAUUAAGAUUGCCAAAAAUCAGGCUUUCCAAUCAUUUGAUCCAUAACAAAUAGUAACAAGCUGAUCCUGAAAUAUUUUGCUUGGGUUUAAUUAUAGAAAUUCUUUUUAAAUUGUUUGAAUUAUUUAUCAUGAGAGGCCAGAAAAAAUAGUUUGUAAAACAUCUUUCAACCAAACUGAUUGUCGUGGAGACCAAAUAUAAACACAACUUUUAUGUUCCUAAUACUUAACAUGAAGCCGAAAAACAAUUUAAGCAUAGAUGAACAAUAUUUUAUUUUUUUGUAAAAUGCAGUACUCUACUGUAGUUUCUGUGCGAUAUUCCUUGAUUGAGAACACAUUGUGCGGCCUUGUUUUUAUGCUGUUUUUUAAUAAAUAAUUUAUAUACAAA